UGAUGCGGCCGCGGCGGAGGCCCGGGUGGAGGUAGUUGACCCACCGGAGGCGGCAGCUCUUGCCGGUGCGCCUCAGACCUGCAGCACGGUGACGGAGAAGAGCCGAAGGAGAAGAAGAAGCAAACGGUUAACACCUCACGCCAUUGCCCGUGGACCUUGGUCGAUCGGCCCUCACGCAUGCUCGCGAGGCAUGCAUGGGGACGGAUCGAUGCACCCGCCACCGCGCAAACCUGACACCUUUGCUAAGAAAUCCCAUCGGCGUUCGCCGAACAGGCGGACGAACCGUACCAGCUGCGCGUCCUCCUCCUCCGUCCACGGGCCCUUCCUCAUCGUCGCCGGCGCCGCCGCCGCCGCCGCGCCGCCGGCCCUGAUGAUGAUCUGCUCGCCGUCCUUGUUCCUGCUACACAUGGACAUGGUGGUCGCUCUCCCGCCGGCGUCGAGGCGACAGAAAAAUAAAGUAAGAUCGAGCCUGGAUGCUUGAUCGAUCGAUCGAGAGGAGGAAGAAGAACUAGGCAGCUAGCUAGCUAGUUUGAUUCCUUCCCUUCACCUGGCCUCCCCUUUAUAUCAGGUUCACAUGAGGUUAGAGGGAGAGAGAUUAGAGAGAGAGAGAGAAAGCAUGAGCAGAAUAUAAUUAAUGGUGGAUAUGGCUAACAGAUUAGAGAUGGAUCGAGCAGGCAGGUGAGUGCCGAAUGGUGCGUGGUGAGCUCAGCGGCUGGAUCAGUGCCGCCCGCAUGAUAGAAGCUAGCUGCAUAUCUUGCCUAAUACCUACAUUUACAAACAAGUGUCGUUUAAUUUUGAUCAGUGAUACAAUACAAGCAACUGCUUUGACCAAUUAUGACUAGUGUAAAAUGUGUACAAAAUAUGACUAAAUGAUAUUUUUAAACUACUUUUGAUUUUGAAAACAGGCUUAGCCAUACCACCUUUAAAAGUUCGGUCAAAAUUUAAAUGUAAGCUGACAAAACUAAUCUAGAACUUCACUUGUAUCUUUUUUUUUAUACUGGAGUGGGUAUAAACAGCUGGCGAGAGUCAUAUCCUUAUUUGGUGCUCAGGAACAAGAAAAAGAGCUACUCCGUAAUGAAGUCCACGGAAUUUAGUGAGAAGAUCAGACAAGAAAAUAUCAGACGGAAGCCAAUCUUAAUUGCUUAACUACUAAGGCUACUUCCAAUGGGAAGUUUCAUAGAGUUUUAUUACCAUUAAUUAGCAUGCCACAUAGGAUUUUUUGAUGACAUGGUAUUUAAUUUAAGAAGAGAGAGAUGAUACCAGUUUCAUCUAGAUGAAACCACCUAUACACAGAAACCAGCUCUCUAUGAUUCAUGAAACUAAAUGUUAUUAGGAGUCUAUGAAACCACACCAUGAAAUUUUGUAUUGGGAAAUGCAGUUUCAAAUACUAUUUCAUUUUCUUGUUGCUUAUGUGGCUAUCUUGGAAACAUCAAAAUGAAAUCCUCAUUGGGAAUUUCAUUGGGAUUAGCCUAAUGAGUCACCUCAUAAUGGCUAGCUUCAUCUUACCAUUAGUCGUCGAUGUGAUUCUUGAAAGCUUUGCUUCUAGACGAUUACACUGAUGGACGAUGGCUACCUUAUCAUUAAGCAUAUUCACUGAUAUGAGUGAUGGCGGUUGAAACAGGCUAUGCUUGUUAAUCAGCAUGUUGCAAUUCGUAAGCAUAUCCUUGCAUCCUUUUGAAAUAAAAUAAUGAGGGAAUCUGUUCUCUUCUAAUUAUUGGGGAUCAACGCGAAAUUAAAGAUGCAAAUCAUGCAUGCUCGCGUCAUGCUUAGAAUGCCCAGAUAUAUCCUGCAUUUUCUGUCUUGUUUCAACUCCCAUCACAUUUUCUCCCUCCAUUUGAUGCGUAGACUCAUGCAACUUACAAUGAAAAAUCAAAUUUGUCACAAGAAACAUUCACAGUGAAACCAGUCUAAUGCAUCAGGAACUAGAUGGAGAGCCUUUUCAAGAGAUACUCUGCUACAAGAAACAUUCUAUUAAGGAACACAAUAAAAGGAGCUUGGGUGUCAAAAUGAUCCAUGGGACAUUUUUCUGCAGCAAUCAAGAACAUACACACAGCAUCCCACGAUUAGGGACAUGAUGCACGCGGUUCAGGAGAAAUAUGUGCGGAUAUCAAGAGGCCACCACGGUGAUCCUGAAUACAUUGCAAAAGGAUCGUCGAUCCAUCUUAAUGGCAGUCUACUCGGGUAUGUUCAUCGGAGGCUCCAGGCUCUCCACAAGAGUCCGCAGGUCCAAAUCCUUACCCUCAAACUUCUUGAUGAAAGGGUGAUUCUGCAACAACAGAAAGGGUAACUCAGCACCACUAACAAAAAUGAAUGGUGGAAACAGUAAUAUCAAGUUAUCAAUCAGAAAACUACUAAGUCAAAACUUGAAGGACUGACCAAGAGUUCUGAAGCAGACAUCCUCUCUGCUGGAUCCUUCUGUAUGCUGCCAAGCAAUAUAGCAAAAUAUAAAACUAAUUAAGCACUAAUCAUAAUUUCUUAACGAAACUCUUCAUGAAAUUAUGAUGGCAGUCGAGCAGAAUUUGAAAAUGGCUAGUGCGCAUUAUUGAAACGAAAGCUUUUUUCAGAUAGGUGCAGUCACAAAUCACAACAAAGGGAUGCUUUAUUAAUCUAGAAAAAAUCACCAUAUUGGGAUAUCUCAUUCUCUUAUCAAUUAUUAUCUUUUGUCAUAAAAAAUUAUGGCCAGUGUCAUUAAAGGCAUGCAGUUCAAAUAGAAUGUCGAUGAGUCAAACAUUACACUUUAGCUAAAGUAGUACACUUUGAUGUUUCAAGGGUUGAAGAGGUACUUUGAACAGUUGAACAAAGUUUUCUUAAAGGUUAAGAUAGUGUGCUUAUGUAAUAUAUAGUAUGACAUAAUGGUGAGACAACCAACAAGUGACGCAUUGCAUCCGUAGCACUGAAUCUAUGUCCUUGAUUAAUAAUCCCAUGACUACAGCUCCAGAGUGAAGCCAAGUCAGCAAGCAAACAAAUCUAUUGUGGAAAUUUUACCCACUGAGCUAUUGAUCAGAAAGUCAACCUUGCAGUGUCUUUGAUCAGCACACAAUAAUGAGAUAGUUGCAGUGUGUUCCCAGUAGUUAAAUUGCAAGACCAAUUUUAAGAUAAAUGAAAUUUUGCUCGAAUUAACUCAGUACAAUAGCAAGCAGGAAGACAAUAAAUGGGACCUUUUUUCAUGCAAAAUUACAGAAAAAGGAUGUUUAACAUACCAAGAGGAGAUAAAUGAGCAGAAUUCUGGAGAGAACUGAUCUGCAGGUGCAGAAGGUGGUGGCUGAUCAACAAUUGCUUCAAGAAGUUCAUAGAAGCUUAUCCAACCUUCUCCUUCUGAAGGUAUAUAGGGGAACCGGCCAAUGGCACACUCAAGUAUCACCAGUCCCAAACUCCAUAUGUCGCUCUUGUAGUCGUAAGAGCUUCCACUAAUCCUCUCAGGCUGAAGAAGGAAGAAUAGUUAAGAACUGUCAACAGACAUUUUAAGCAUUCCAGUCACUAAUGAACCUAAACUAGCAAUCACAUAAAAUUACUAAGUCAAAACAUACUGCCAUAUAGUUGUAGGUUCCAACAAAUGUAUCCCGCUGACCCAUUGAACUUGCUAGCACUGCACUGACCCCGAAAUCAGUAAUCUUUACUUCACCUUUACGGUUGACUAACAAGUUAGACGGCUUUAUGUCCCUGUGAAUCACAUGCCUUUCAUGAUGAAGAUACAACAAACCCUCCAAUACCUGAAUUAACAAAAUACUUCUCGAUAUUAGCUGUGUGAAAAUGUGGCCUCAAGUUCCAACAAAUGUUUAAAUUUAAGCAGAUUUUGUUCGUACCUGCUUGCAAAGUACUGCAAGGUAUGGCUCCAGAACAGUCUUCACUUGCUUAAUGAUGUCCGCAAGAGAUCCGCGAUCCAUGUACUCAAGAACAAGAUAUAUCACACCAUUGUGGUAAAAAGAUUGAUGGCACAUAACUAUAUGUGGACUCUGUGUUGCUUGAUUAAUCUUGAGCUCUUGUACGAUUUGUUUGCGCACUGACUCCUGAAUGUUCAUUUGAAUACCCUGCAGAAGUAAUUGCGCUACUGGUUAAUGUAACAUGUGGCCUAUAAAUAUCAUAUGGAGUUCAACGGAAAUGUCAUAUUAGUGAAAUGCCACAACACUGCUAUCACCAGAGGCAAUUCUCCAAAAAAUUUCAGACAAAAAUACAUUACCUGAUGUACUCAAAUUCUUACCAUCAGUAUUCAUUAAAAAAAUAGUUUUUCCAGUUAUUUCAUAUGGACACAUAAGCUGGUGCUAGAUGUAAGUGCUUUACCAAUCAUUUAGCAUCCACCAUCUUUGUGCAUUCAAAUUAGUGCUGCCAUGACAAUAUGACAUUACCAAGUUCAACAAUCAAAUCAUUACAUUCAGAUGAUUCUAAUUGCCAUAACAAGAUAUAACAUGCAGGAAAUCUGUUCGAAAAAGUUUGAAUAUAUAGAUUUCCAUAUUCCACCUAAAAAAAAUAUUUCCAUGCCAAGAAAGAAGAAACAUAAAGAAUAGCAAUAUAGUAAAAUGAGGGUAUGAAACUAACAAUGUUCUUGUAUCUGAAGUAAAAUAAUAUACACUGACCGUUCUAUAUUUAAUAAGUGGAUUGGAUAGUUUAUAUAGUGAAGAAAUGUUCCUAUCGCUCUGGUUUGAGCAAAAUGCAUAUUUCCAAUAUCAAUAUUGAGUCACCACUCAAAAUGAUGGUCUAUAUGGGAAGAUGAAACUAAUAGAGUAAUAGUCUACUAGACUAAUUGACUAGGAGUGCACAGGGAGAAAUUAGUGUGCUGAAAAUUACCUUCAAGGCAUACAAUGUCCCCACCCAUUUGUGCCGCACUAGCUGGACAACACCACCACUCCCUUUACCAAUGACUUGAAUCAUCUCAAGAUCAUCCAUUGAUAACUGUACAUCUUCCACCUUCAGGUUUGUCGAUUGCUGGGGAAAGAUGCAACCCAAGUUCAGAAAUUGCAUGAUCACUAAACAAAUACUAACACAAAUACAAACUAGAGAAAAAGAUAUCCUUAUAGGAGUUCAAGCUGAGUAUGAUGAUCAAUCACAGAAACUGAAAACAUGUUAUGUUCCCACUAACUGGAAAAACUUCUGGUAGUGUACAAAAUAUUAACUACAUACAUGCCAAAUCCACAUUUGUUCAUAAAGGUUAAUAUAAAAUGAAAAAUCAACAUUUUGAAACACAAAAGGUUCCUCUGCAAUCUGCACCAUUGUGCUCCAUAAAGCAGCACGGGCAUCUGAGUUGCGCCAGCACCGUGCAUUUAAUCGAAAUGGGGAAUUCAGUACAUAUGCACAAUGUCUGCCCGGUGAACUGGUACACGUGCUUCUAUGCAAACCAUCAAUGUUACGAUAAGAGGUACAUUCCACAGGAGCACAGUCAGAUGAAUCAACAAACAGCAAAAGCAGUAGUUGCCGAUCCAGGACUCACAUUUUCAUCUCCAUUUUCCUCGGAGAUAAGCCGCAAGCCUCUUUGAUUAAGCCGUAGUUCACCAUCCUUGAAUGUACCACUCGCCGUCCUAAAAUGGCACCAGCGAUCAAAGACAUCAAUUCAGUUGUUGUACAAUAACUACUGAAAACUAAACAUUGAACUCAAGAUCAAAUCAAAGGGACUAAAAAAUUAUUCAUGAUCCGGAACCACAUGUGAUUUACAAAUGUCAUCCCCAUCACAUGAAACCAUAAACCGGUAACUAAAAUUGGAAAAAUAAAUGAGGGGGGAUAAAAGGAGGCUAUUUUUAGGAUAAGAAAACAAGGAUACUGACAGGAAUUUGUCGACGGGGGUCUCCUGCGCCGGCACCGCGAGCUUCAGCUCCAUUACCGGCUUCUUCCCCCUCAUGGCCUCCUCGCCCCUUGGCAGGGAGAGUUAGGGUUUCUUAGUGGAAGAUGGGGAUAGGACUCGCGGCUCCGGGAGGAUCAAGGAGACAGAAGCUAGUUCUUGUUGCUUCGGGAGUACCAGGAGCGGAGCCGACGCCUGCGGGGAGAUGAGGCGGCAGGUGGGGCGGCGGGAUCGGGUUGGAGCGGCGGCGGCGGUGACGGGCUCGAGACUCGGAGUCAGAGGAGAGGUUGGUGUCGAGAUUUUUUUUUAUUUUUUUAAUGUCUAGGGCAACAUCCGUCAUCUGAUUUCCAUCCGACGGUCACUGUUACUGAUGUGUACACUAGACUCUGUGUGUGUUUUUCUCUCUGGCAAAUCCACUCACUUUAGGCUUUUCACCACCGAAACAAUCCACUUUAUUUCAUCCAAAUACCACCCAAAGCUCGUACCAUUUUAGAUUAUACCAUUUCGUUAGCUAGCUUUUCCUGGCAUGGUAGACAUUUAUCUUUCUGCUUAAUUAGUUUGUGAUUCAUUUGCGAAGUUCAUCGAUGAAUCUGGUGGUAUGGAGUUGCUGUCUCACCUUCAUUUGUCAUCUCAGAUCUCCCUAUCAUCCACUUUAAAUGCUAAGGCCCUCGCGAAUAGCUUCAGCAGAUUGAUUAUUAGAAAGAGAGAAUAUCAAAAAGUAAAUGGCUGUCUUUCUUUAAGUUCUUGUUUCCUUUCUAAAGGAAGAAAUAUGCUAGGUUGACUAAUACUAGAGAAAUGAACUUAUGCUUCACUCAUUAGCUAGAUUAUAAAAUAACUAUAAGAAAAUUGAGGAGAUAGACUGUUUAAUAAACAAACAAAAGACUCAAAUUUCAUUAUCCUCAAAAUCCAAGUAUCCAAUUAACAAGGAGCAGAUCGGCGCAUGGAAAAUUACCAAACCACAAUUCAACAACAAGCCCUACCACCAUCGCCCUUGCACCACACACUGUUAGAAAUUUAAAGUUUUGGUAUAUUUUAAUUUCAAAAUUAAGCAAGUUUUAGCAAGAGGAGCGAGCACGCGCGUGUGACUCCCCAUUCUCCUUUUCCAACUUUAGAGACACGAAAUCCAUCUAAUAAGUUGGUUAGUAUCCUCCUCAAUAACCAAUGUGGGAUUACCUACUUUAAUUCCCUAGCAUUAAUAUGGGUCUUGUAAUAUUAAAUAGAUUAAUUGAAUUAAUUUGGAUCAAGCCCAUUUAAAUCCAACAUCCACGAGCAUUGCUCGAGUUCCAUUUUAUUUACUCUAGGAUACCUUCCCUUCUACAACAUUCUAGAGUGGCUCCAGUUUAGAGAAAUAUACUAGACUUCUGCGAAUGGAGUCACAUGUCCUCAGCCCCUCACUAGAGAGUUGUGGUGUCAAGAUUGUCGACAACACCAAUAUCAUAUCGAGUGGCUUAGAUUGUAAUAGACAAGAGCUAUCUCUAGUUGAGUUACAAGUUAACAACAUGAAAAUGAUAAAGAUGAUGUAUAUAUAGAAUAAUUCGGAACUAUAAACAAUGUUUUCUUUGAGUGCUAAUAUCUACGCCAAUGGCUUUGAUCGCAUAAACAAAAUUUGACCCUUUUUAUAAUUUGUACGGGGUGAUGUAAGACAUCCUAAUUAUAGAUCUUUGGUUUUGUGAUCGUUACUAAUUCAUGAGUGGUAGAUUCCAAAAAGAUAAUUGUGAUGAACAAUGGACUAGCUAGAGGGUGUGAAAGAAAGCGCAACGAUAAUGCUAGGUUAAUGAGGAUCAGGAGUUAGGACCGCAGCAAUUUGGAAAGGAAGAAACAAGAAGUACAUGUGGGCAACGACCUGCCAUCCUAUCACUAGCUUUCCGCCGCUGUUACGAUCUCCAUCUUGCAAAGAUACAGUGCCUUCUUCAUUAGCUCCAACUCUAUAUGUGUCACUGACAUGUGGGCUCCAUCGACGAAGGCCGCAAUCCAUGGGAAUCAAGGCUCUAUUCAAUGGGACACUUUGCCUGUUGGUGUAGCAUUUUGCGAUAGAUAAUGCCUUUGUGAUCCCACAGGUGGUCUAAAUCACUCACUAAUCGCUCUCGCUUGAUGUCAAAUGUCACUGUUUGGGAUGGGGCUCAGCUGCUUCUACAAUUGGAGGGGAGGAAAGGUGGAUAUGGCGCACAGAAAAGUCGGACAGGGACCUGCACUGCACGUACAAAUGGCGCGCAUGGCAUUCCCCGAUUGGAUGCCGCUGUCCCUUGUCCCUCCCGUCAUUCCAUUUCCAUGGCAUGGGGGUUAGCGAGAGCUAGAUUCCCAUUCCCAUGCAUGUACUCCGUCCGUCAGUUAGUUGGACUGGUAUCUUGGAAUGGAAUAUGAAUAUAUGAUUGUGUAAAAAUUUUCGAGAUGCAGAUUCUGCAUUACUUGCGUGCCGCGCUUGAGUGCCUUUAGCUUCCUUAUAUUCAUGGUGUACCAACUCCAAGAUCUAGUGGUACUGAAGGAGAAUUGCAGAACAGUGCCCUUCAACUGCCUCCUCUCGUUUAGGCUGAUUCGUAGCAUAAGAUUUCAGGGAACAAUUUAAUUUAAUUCUUUUAGCUAGGGUCUGUAUCUGUCUAUAUUAGCUCUGCUUUGUCUAUAUUGUCACUUAAUUUUGAUCAUUGCAACAUCAUGCUUGCUACUUUUUUUUUGUCUCAUUGAGUUCUUAUUUACAUACUAUACAAUACACAAGUAAUGAAGGAAGUACUGUGGUUGCACGAAAAGAGCACCAAGAUCAUCAUCAAGAUUCAGGACAACACAGCUGUUCAGACAGCACUUACUGAUUAAUGUAACUGCUCUCAUAUAGGAGUACUCAUAAGUACAAUCCCAUCAUCACACUCUUACAUGCAUGAACACAAAAGGCAGCAGAUCCCUACAGGUGUGUUCUGAUCUGAAUUAUCUGAUUCAACAUAAGAUGGUGAACUACUGAACUACAUGUCCUGACCUGAUGACGACGUACAUAGCAUGCAUGCGUCAAGCAAGGUGUUACAGGUAUAAUUACAGUAUACACAGAUGCAAAUAUAUAUGUACUGUAGUAUACAUAGAACGUACGAAACAGAUGCAACGAAAGACGAACCUAGCCUUUUGAAAUCGUAGCUAGUAGACAGAAAAAUAAAGCUAACUGAUUGAUUAAUAUAAGGCAGAAGAAGAUGCAUGGUGGAUGAUCUGAUAUAUAAGCAUGGCUGAUGGCUCAUCAAGAGGCGUCGAGCAUCUUCUUGUAGUACUCUUCGUCGUCGAUCCUCCAGAGCGAGUAAUCCGAGCAGUAUUCCCACACCGGCGACGACGGCAUCACCGGCGGCUCGGCGGCGGCGGGGUGACACGCUCCUACCCAGCCGUCGACCAUGUAGCUCGCCGCCGCCUCGGCUGCCGCGAUCUCGUUCCAGAACUGGUCCAUGGUGUAGGACGACGCUUCCUGCUGCUGCUGCUGCUGGUGGUGGUGAUGCUGGCUUGCCGCGGUGGUGGACGCCUCGUCGAGCUCGGCGUCGUCCUCUGCGCCGCCGCCGCCGCCGCUCUCUCGCAGCGCUGAACCGGUGACCGCCGACGACGACGCGGCCGUGCCGCAGCCGCUGCUCGGAGAGCCGGAGCAGGACGCGGUGGUGGUGGUCACGGUCGACGACGAGGACACCGAUGCCGCCGACGCCGCCGUCUUCGCUGCCUUCUGCUUCCUGGUGCGCGUCCUCCAGUAGUUCUUGAUCUCGUUGUCGGUGCGGCCGGGGAGGCUCCUGGCGAUGCGCGACCACCUGCUGCCGUACUGCGCGUGGAGCUCGAGGAUGAGGCGCUCCUCGUCGGCGGUGAUGCGGCCGCGGCGGAGGCCCGGGUGGAGGUAGUUGACCCACCGGAGACGGCAGCUCUUGCCGGUGCGCCUCAGACCUGCAGUACGCCGACACGCAUGCAUAGAGAAGAAAGCAGGGAGAAGGAGAAGAGGAAGCAAAUGGUUCACACCGGUCGUCUCUGCCCAUCCUAAGAUCAAUCCCCAAGAAUGGAUGCAUACAUAUAAAUAUAUAUAUAUUUAUAUACAUACGCAUGCUUGGGGAUGCACCCGCCACCGCCCCAACCUGAAACCUUUGCUAAGAAAUCCCACCGGCGUUCACCAAACAAGCGCACGAACCAUACCAGCUGGGCGUCUUCCUCCUCCGUCCACGGCCCCUUCCUCAUCCCCGCCUGCUUACUGCCACCACCACCACUACUACUACGCUCACCGUCCUUCUUCUGCUUGUUCCUGCAACACAUGGACAUGGUUGCUGCCGCCAUCGAUCGGUGAUCCAUCACCUCCUCUUCUUUACUUCUUCCUCCUGCUGCUGCAGCCCCGGCCAGGCGUGUGGUUUCCUCCUCCUCGUCGUCGGCUCCUCCCUUCGAAUUGUCCCCGUCGAUCGACGACUUGGGCUUAAUAGGGAAUAGGGCGCCGGACAGAGACAAAGGCCGUCCCAACAGAGCUUAGCUUGGAUCAAUCGAAAGGAAGAAGAAAGAGACUGCAGAUAGAUGCCUCCACUUGUGUACGAUCUAGAUUCUAGCUAGCUGUGUAUGAUGAAUACAC
rnacentral:lncRNA from 1 species